rnacentral:lncRNA from 1 species
UUAGUUUUUUUAUUUUAUUUGUGAGACUUUUUGUUUUAUUUUAAUUUUAUUCUGCACUUUAGUUUUAUUAUUUUGUUGGUUGUUUUUUCAAGUUUGUUAUAUCUUUAUCCUAUUUAUUUUUGUCUAUUUUCUUAUUAGUUUUCUCGUAAACAUAUACUUCGUUUAGAUUCGCCUACGAUUCCGAUUUUCAUUAUUCUAGCGAAUUCAUCCAAAUUCAGGGCAGUUUCAGUUCUCUCCCAUCCUUAUGAUAUUGUGCUUAUUUUGUGAUUAUAAUUGUUUGUACAUUAAAGGCAAUGUACAUCUUAAGUGUGGGGAGAUUGUUUAUAUGCUUAUGUGAUAAAAUCCUUGAAUUGUUGUUUGUGUUUAAGUAAUUUUCUCACAUCUAUCAUUGAAGUUGUUUUUUUUUAAUUUGGAGUUUGUAUUGAUUUUGUUUUGGAAUAAUUUGUGGAUUUUUGUGAAUUUUGUGAUUUAUACUUUAAGAAACGAGAGAGACAAGCAUGAUAAGUUAUUUUUCAGAAAUUAUUAUUUUAGGUUGUCUCCCUAAAUUGAAGCAUUAUCUUGAAAUUUUAAAUUUGCAAUUUUUACAUCAAAACCAUAAUUUUUUGUGAGCUUUUGAGCCUAAAGAGCAUAUAUUUUAUUUCG